GCAGCUCUGCUCGAAUGGACGCAGAGAGGACCACACGCAGCGCAGCGCCCUUGGAAGCCCGACGCCGCUUCCUCUCUCUGCGGCCCCUUGCCCCCCUCCCAGGGUGGAGAUGCGAGGGGCCCCUUCCCCGGAGCUGGAGCGGGAGGAGAUUGCUGGGACACAGAGGGUUCCAGACGGGCCCCUGUCCCCACCAGGCCACCACCUCCUUCGCUCCAGAAGCCAGGUACUGCCACAACGGUGAGCUCGUACACUCCCAACUUCACAUGUGACCAGGUGCACAUGUGGCAGAGAUUUCCAGAAGUGAGUGACUGGGUCUGAGGUCAAGUAAGGUCCAAGCUCCGGGGCAUCAAGCACGUUCACAUUGCUGGGCAACCACUGCCAUCCAUUUCCAGAACCUUCUCAUCAUUUCAUGGUUUCUUUUAAAAUAUUAUUAAUAAUUACUUGAUCCCUUUGAGAUGCAUAAUAUUGCCGUACCCUGUAGGUGAACCAUGGGCACAACUUUAUCUUAUCCUGAAUGGUUAUCAUGUUGUCUCAACAUCACUUAUUUAAAAAGCCCGUCUUGGGACUUGCCUGAUGGUCCAGUGGUUAAGACGCUGUGUUCCCACUGCGGGGGGCUCCCAGUGCAGGUUCGAAGCCUGGUCUGGGAACUGGAUCCCACAUACUGCAACUAAGACCCACUGCAGCCUAAUUAAUUAAUUAAUUAAAAGUGAA